AGGACAGUUGCAAAAGGGAAAAGAAACAAACAAACAAAAACCAAAAAAAAAACAACCGCCCACACAAAAACAGGUCACACACAGAAAGACAGAAAUCCACGCAGAAAAAGAACCUGUUGCGUUCCAGCUCCCCUGCCGUCGGAGGGCGGUGCGGGCACGUCUCUCGGCGGGCGGGCACAGCGCUGCGCGCCGCGGGGGCGGUCGGGGCGGUCGGCCCCGGCCCCGGAGACCGGCCGGCCUUUGCACUCCGUCGCACUGCCACGGACUGCGCCCCGGAGGAGCGGGUGUGUCCGGCGGGGGAGCCCCGGGAAGCGGGAAAGGGCGCUGCGCUCCUCGGCCGGCGGAGGAGCUCUUCCUCUUCUUCCUCCUCCUCAGCAGAGAGGCGGCCCAUCUUCGCACCUCGCCGCCGCCGCGGCCCUUCAGACACUGGCGUUCAUCACCUGUGGACAAAGUUAGUUUCCCGAUGUCUGUGGAGAUGCUGAAGUUAAGCUAUGCUGUACUCAAAGAAGUCCCUGGAUCCCCGUCAACCCCCCAUCUCCCCGUGCCUCUCCCUCCCCUCGAUCCAAGCUUUUCCUCUCGUUUCCAUCAUAGAAUGCUUCCAAUCUUUUUUUUUUGUGAAUUUUUUUAUGAUGAGAAAAUCUAUUUGUAUCUAUCCUAACCCGGUUGGGGAUAUAUUAAGCUAUUUUUGUACAUAAGAGAGAGAGAGAUUUAUAGAGGUUUUGUACAAAUGGUUUAAAAUGUGUAUAUCUUGAUACUUUUUUUAAUAUGUAAUGCUUAUUACCUCCUCAUGUUUAGACUCGUAGUCAACGUUACCUUACAAUUGCCAUUUUUGUAUGUGGUUUUGUAAAGGACUUGGAUUUCCUCCAGAUGUACUUUAGCACCAAUGUGUCUUACUUUAUAGGAACUUCGUUAAUGUAUUAAUAAUGUCAUUAAACAAUGUUCAAAGUGAACAAAGUUUAUGCAGCUAUUGUCCAAACGCAAAACGGUAGCUAUUUGUUUUCAUAUGCUGCCUUUUGGGAGAAAAAGGAAAAAAAAGGAAAAAAAAAAAGAAAAACCAGACAAACAACCCCCCCCCACACACACCACUGCCUUUUCUUACUGUUUUAUUACAAACUUACAAAGGUCCUGUAUAACCCUAUUUUAUACAAUCUAGUUUCAUAAUAAAACUUUUUUUUAAUUAAAAUGAUCA
rnacentral:lncRNA from 1 species